UACAGAGGGUGCAAGCGUUAAUCGGAAUCACUGGGCGUAAAGCGCACGUAGGCGGACUCUUAAGUCGGUGGUGAAAUCCUGGAGCUCAACUCCAGAACUGCCUUCGAUACUGAGAGUCUUGAGUCCGGGAGAGGUGAGUGGAACUGCGAGUGUAGAGGUGAAAUUCGUAGAUAUUCGCAAGAACACCAGUGGCGAAGGCGGCUCACUGGCCCGGUACUGACGCUGAGGUGCGAAAGCGUGGGGAGCAAACAGG
rnacentral:rRNA from 1 species